CUCACACGCCCGCCCGCCGGGCCGCGGCGGGAGAGGAGAGGCGUGAGGGGCGCGCCCGAGCCGUGUGCACCCCCGGGCCGGUGAGGGCCCUGUGGCAGCCCCGCAGCUCCCCUCACGGUGCGUGCGGUGUGUAUGGCAGCCGUACGGGGAGCGGCUGAGGUCAUUGGUCAGCCUGGAGGAGAAUGAGGGGAGACCUCAUCGCAGUCUGCAGCUUCCUCACGAUGAGAUGCAGAGCAGCAGACGCUGAUCUCUGUGGUUAGCGGUGAUAGGACCCGUGGGAGUGGCCGGAGGUUGUGUCAGGGGAGGUUUAGGUAGGAUGUCAGGAAACCUUCGUCCAGAGGGUGGUUGGACACUGGAACAGCUUCCCAGGGAAGUGGUCACAGCACCAGCCCGAGAGAGUUCAAGAAGCGUUCGGACAACGCUCUCAGGCUCAUGGUGCGACCCUUGGGGGUGUCCUGUGCAGGGCCAGGAGUUGGACUCUAUGAUCCUCGUGGGUCUCUUCCAAUUCAGCAUACUCCGUGAAAAUCACUCCCCUCCCGCUGGGCGUUGGUAAGGGCAACCUGCCCGGGCACGGGCUGGCACGUCGGAGCCAGGCUGGUUGAUGACCUGUGAGGAGAGCGGCGGGCAGGCAGGAGGCCGCUCCAGAGUCAGCGGGACAGCUUGCAGCGGUCGAGACCGAGCGUCAAAGAAAGAGCAGCACCAGCUCCUUGAUGUGCCCGUCUGCAGCUGAGGGUCAUAUAUAUGUGGGUAUUUGUCACGUCCAGUGUUCAUGGACAAUAUUCAGGAACUGUUAUUACGUGAUGAAACUAUCCUCCUGCAGAGACUUCUUUAAGAAAAGCCCUUCCCAUCUGUUUUUAAGCAGCAGACUAUUUUGUCUCUGACUGUUGUUAAAUUUAUUUGCAUGACAUGAAGUCUGUGAUUUAAAUAUAGACCAAUGGAUACCUACAUGCCCACAAAGGUGUGAUUUUGUUUGAUGUUUUGGAGGAUACAGACGUGCGUAUUCAGUCAAAAAAGUGAAGGAUGCUGUAUUUUUUCACCAGACACUUGCAGCUACAUGACCUGAGACAUAUCUUGUGGUGAGAUUGGGAAAUCUUUGAAUGCUGAGGACCUUCCUGUGUCCAUGUCUGGUCCUGGUCUAUGUGACUCUGGAAGCAAGAAUUCAGCUUCAGGCAGUGCCACUGUAGAAGUGCUAAGUGCAGAGGUGCGCAGUCUUGCCAGGAGCAUCUUUCCCAUUGGUCAUGGAAGGUACCAGCUGGCACAAGUGAAUGCACUGUGGCACUAGGUCUGGUUUGAAUGAAACAGGAAAUAAAUCACACAUGGUAAUAAAGCAAACAAUACUGUAAGUAGAUUCCAGAUGAUGGAGAAGCUCAGAGAAGAAAAAGAGUGAGGUGAAUGAAAUGUCUGCUCUGAAAUGGCUGCUCAAGUCCAAGACUGAAACUCCAGUCUCACUUGCUGCCUGUAUUUAACAUCUGAAAAAUCUUACAUCGGUGAAUCUAUUGCCAGGCUUUUUUCCACUAUGAGCACAAUCUUUUGAAGAUUUAAUCACUAGUAAAAAAAAUCUCUUUCCUCUGUUGUAAUGCAGAGGAGAAAGUAAAGAAAUCCAUGCAGCAGGAAAGAGUCUGGAACACAUGGCAAGAUGUUUUACUUGUAUCACAGUAUUUUUCACUUAUUAUAGUGCCUUUGAUCCAAUGGCCUUGCAGUAUUUUAUGAGUUACGAGUGAUCUUUGAUCUUUUGUUUCCCUAUGCUGAUGAAAAAGGCUUUGCUUUAUUUUUUUUUUCUGCCAGAGUAAACUGAUUCACUGAGAUUAUGCUCAAACUGUAAAGUCAGAAACAAAGCCAGCUCAGGUCACUGCACUCCCCCUCAGUGCCUUCUUUCAGACCUGUAUCACCUUUGUGCCAACCCUUCCAAAAGGGGACAGAGUCCAAAAAAUGGUGAUUAGAAAUCACAAGUUGUCAUUGUGAUUGUAUGGUAGAAAUUGUAAAGACCUCGAUAACAGGAGGAUGAACACAGGAUAAAUAGACAGGCUACUUUAUUAAACCCUUUGAAGCACAGUGGAUUAUGUUUGCACAUAAUACACCUGCUGUGGUGCUGAGGACUAAGAUCUGUCUUUGUUAACAUGCCAUCCAAAUUUCAUCAGGAACAUAUUUUUCAUUAAAAUGCUUCAACGGAGCUGGUCUCUGAGGCAUCUGGCUAGCGGUGGAUAAAAUCCUUGCCAUUAAAGUUGGUCUCCCUGGAGAGCGAGAAGCUAACAACAGAAGGGACGGGAGAACAAGGGAGCAGACGAGUACCCAUUUAGCCCACAGCCAAAACGUUGAGAUCUAAAUUAAGUUAGACACUGAAGGAUACAAAGAGAGAGUAACCUUUAAUUGCUGAUCUCUAGCACCAGCUGCCGGCGUGAUAAGCAAGCGGGGAGUGCAGACAGAUCCCACCUGCGCACAGAUCCCAGGUAGCUGCUGGGCUGAGGCAGCCCGUGUGGCUGAAAUGUUGAAGGCAGCCAUGGCAGGAAGGUCAGACAGGAAAAUCUUCAUGGCCUGUAAAAUUGGGAUUAUGUGUUUUCCAGCUGCUGGCAGCUGUGCAGAAAUCACUUGCACGUGUGGUGAUGGGUGGUGCCAGAGGCUGUGGGCAGCUGCCUCUACUUAGCAAGGCCAGAGCAGCCACCUUGACUGCAGCCGGGAGCUGAAACCGGUCUGCUUGACUUUACAGAUUGAGGGUACUUACGUGAAGGGCACAAUCACCAGAUUGGCUGUGUUGGUGGUUUUCAGUGGACAUAAGGUGGUGUGUUGGUUUCUGGCUGUAUCCCCACUGCCGGCACAGUUGGGCUGGGAAGAAAAUGUCUUUUUUUUUAAGUUGGCGUAAAAACAAGAUCAUAUAGUAGCACAUAUUGUCCAGAGACCACCAGGUGUGAAAGCAGAAUUGCUGGCUACUAAAUUCCCUCUCUGCUCUGUGUAGUGAGGAGAGAUGUGACAUUGUGUGUGAUUUUUAUCUGUGCAAAAUAUGCUAAAAGCCUUCACUUGCUGGUAUUAAAUUGACCUCAAGCUUCCUAGCGGGAGUAGUAAUAAUAAGCAGGCAAGCCAGAGAAAUCUGUUUGCCCUCAUCCACACUGGCAAAGGAGAUUUAAUUGUGAAACCUCCAAAGCAGUGCUGGCUGGGAUACAAGAGAGUCAUCUGUUACAGUGAAUCAAGGUAAAGGCCAAAAUGGUAAUAAAAAUAUUUGGUGGUUUGGGGGGAAAAUUCAAAAAGCUGGAAAGAGUGAAAAACUGAAACAUGGCCUUUUGGAAACAGUAUCUCUGCAUUGUUCAAGAAUCUUUCUCAAAAAAAAAAAAAAAAAAAAAAA